UACGGAGGGAGCUAGCGUUGUUCGGAAUUACUGGGCGUAAAGCGCACGUAGGCGGAUAUUUAAGUCAGGGGUGAAAUCCCGGGGCUCAACCCCGGAACUGCCUUUGAUACUGGGUAUCUCGAGUCCGAGAGAGGUGAGUGGAAUUCCGAGUGUAGAGGUGAAAUUCGUAGAUAUCGGGAGGAACACCAGUGGCGAAGGCGGCGAUCUGGGUCGAUACUGACGCUGAGGUGCGAAAGCGUGGGGAGCAAACAGG
rnacentral:rRNA from 1 species